ACGAACGCUGGCGGCGCGCCUAACACAUGCAAGUCGAACGGAGUCAAGAGGAGCUUGCUUUUCUUGACUUAGUGGCGAACGGGUGAGUAACGCGUGAGUAACCUGCCCUGGAGUGGGGGACAACAGUUGGAAACGACUGCUAAUACCGCAUAAGCCCACGAUCCGGCAUCGGAUUGAGGGAAAAGGAUUUAUUCGCUUCAGGAUGGACUCGCGUCCAAUUAGCUAGUUGGUGAGGUAACGGCCCACCAAGGCGACGAUUGGUAGCCGGACUGAGAGGUUGAACGGCCACAUUGGGACUGAGACACGGCCCAGACUCCUACGGGAGGCAGCAGUGGGGGAUAUUGCACAAUGGGGGAAACCCUGAUGCAGCGACGCCGCGUGGAGGAAGAAGGUUUUCGGAUUGUAAACUCCUGUCGUUAGGGACGAUAAUGACGGUACCUAACAAGAAAGCACCGGCUAACUACGUGCCAGCAGCCGCGGUAAAACGUAGGGUGCAAGCGUUGUCCGGAAUUACUGGGUGUAAAGGGAGCGCAGGCGGACCGGCAAGUUGGAAGUGAAAACUAUGGGCUCAACCCAUAAAUUGCUUUCAAAACUGCUGGCCUUGAGUAGUGCAGAGGUAGGUGGAAUUCCCGGUGUAGCGGUGGAAUGCGUAGAUAUCGGGAGGAACACCAGUGGCGAAGGCGACCUACUGGGCACCAACUGACGCUGAGGCUCGAAAGCAUGGGUAGCAAACAGGAUUAGAUACCCUGGUAGUCCAUGCCGUAAACGAUGAUUACUAGGUGUUGGAGGAUUGACCCCUUCAGUGCCGCAGUUAACACAAUAAGUAAUCCACCUGGGGAGUACGACCGCAAGGUUGAAACUCAAAGGAAUUGACGGGGGCCCGCACAAGCAGUGGAGUAUGUGGUUUAAUUCGAAGCAACGCGAAGAACCUUACCAGGUCUUGACAUCGAUCUAAAGGCUCCAGAGAUGGAGAGAUAGCUAUAGAGAAGACAGGUGGUGCAUGGUUGUCGUCAGCUCGUGUCGUGAGAUGUUGGGUUAAGUCCCGCAACGAGCGCAACCCCUGUCCUUAGUUGCCAGCAUGUAGAGAUGGGAACUCUAAGGAGACUGCCGUAGAUAAUACGGAGGAAGGUGGGGAUGACGUCAAAUCAUCAUGCCCUUUAUGACCUGGGCUACACACGUACUACAAUGGCGUUUAACAAAGAGAAGCAAGACCGCGAGGUGGAGCAAAACUCAAAAACAACGUCUCAGUUCAGAUUGCAGGCUGCAACUCGCCUGCAUGAAGUCGGAAUUGCUAGUAAUCGCGGAUCAGCAUGCCGCGGUGAAUACGUUCCCGGGCCUUGUACACACCGCCCGUCACACCAUGAGAGUUGGGGAUACCCGAAGCCUGUGAGCCAACAGUUAAAUGAGGCAGCAGUCGAAGGUAGAAUCAAUGAUUGGGGUG
rnacentral:rRNA from 1 species